rnacentral:lncRNA from 1 species
AUUCCGCAGAGUCCCAGCACAGAGCAGAGUAGAACAGAGUAGGAUUGGAGCUGAGAGAUAGUAAGUAAAUAGGCAGCAGAAAUAUGUCAAGCAACAAUACCCCAUGUCAGCAUUUUACCUAUGGAUGGCAUUUUCUAUUUUCGGUGACGGACUAUGAGCCAGGAUAAACACAUUACUCUCUUCUUUAACAAAAAGAGCAUGGUUAACUCCAAAGACUUCUCUAGACCAGCCUGGAUGGUACCUAAACUUUAAUCAACCAAUGCUCAAGUAAAAGAGCAGUAUCCAGCCCCAGCACACCUAACUGUUUUGCAUAACAUAGUCUCUGAUUUCAGGAGCAGAAGAAAAUAUAUAAGAAGAGAUUUACCUGGGUAACGGUUAAGUUUCCCAAUCUCCAUCGUACAUAAUAUCGAAUAGGAAUCACAAGUGUGUAGAGGACAUGAAGGAAGGCAAAUCCCAGAGCUACCAAGCCAAGCUGCUUUCGGCAAAGCAUCCAGUGGUCAAGCCAGUCUGGGAAUCGACGGUAUUUUGUGCCUCGGUACAGUUGUAGAAUGGCAGCAAUAACACCAGGGAGGUAAACCAAAGCAAGCAGUUGCUCCUGACUGGAGAGCCCAGGCUGAGAUGGUGUUAAAUGCUUUUACCACGUGGGCUCCUGGCACCAAAUGAGCAAGAUCUCACCCCACAGGCCUUGGAAACCUGAGGCAGUAUUCUUCUGGGAUGUUUCCAACUAGGCUUCCCAUGAGGAUGUUAGAGCCAGCCUGGCUGGUGAAUUUUACUUCUCUCACCUCUCAGAGGGACAUGGAUGAAAUUGGAAAUCAUCAUUCUCAGUAAACUAUCGCAAGAACAAAAAACCAAACACCGCAUAUUCUCACUCAUAGGUGGGAACUGAACAAUGAGAACACGUGGACUCAGGAAGGGGAACAUCACACUCUGGGGACUGUUGUGGGAUGGGGGGAGUGGGGAGGGAUAGCAUUGGGAGAUAUACCUAAUGCUAGAUGACGAGUUAGUGGGUGCAGCGCACCAGCAUGGCACAUGUAUACAUAUGUAACUAACCUGCACAUUGUGCACAUGUACCCUAAAACUUAAAGUAUAAUAAUAAAAAAAAAUCUGUGAAGAACAGAGACAG